rnacentral:rRNA from 1 species
AUUACCGCGGCUGCUGGCACGGAGUUAGCCGGUGCUUCUUCUGCGGGUAACGUCAAUCGACGCGGUUAUUAACCACAUCGCCUUCCUCCCCGCUGAAAGUACUUUACAACCCGAAGGCCUUCUUCAUACACGCGGCAUGGCUGCAUCAGGCUUGCGCCCAUUGUGCAAUAUUCCCCACUGCUGCCUCCCGUAGGAG